UACGGGGGGAGCAAGCGUUGUUCGGAUUUACUGGGCGUAAAGGGCGCGUAGGCGGCCAGCGCAAGUCAGUUGUGAAAUCUCCGGGCUUAACUCGGAAAGGUCAACUGAUACUGCGCGGCUAGAGUGCAGAAGGGGCAACUGGAAUUCUCGGUGUAGCGGUGAAAUGCGUAGAUAUCAGGAAGAACACCCGUGGCGAAGGCGGCUCUCUGGGACGGUACUGACGCUGAGACGCGAAAGCGUGGGGAGCGAACAGG
rnacentral:rRNA from 1 species